rnacentral:rRNA from 1 species
GAUGAACGCUAGCGGCAGGCCUAAUACAUGCAAGUCGAGGGGUAACAGGAGAGCUUGCUCUCGCUGACGACCGGCGGACGGGUGCGUAACGCGUAUGAAAUCUGCCCCAAAGAGAGGGAUAGCCUAUGGAAACGUAGAGUAAUACCUUAUGUUAUUACAGAGUCGCAUGACUUUGUAAUUAAAGCUCCGGCGCUUUGGGAUGAUCAUGCGUAGCAUUAGCUAGUUGGUGGGGUAAAAGCUCACCAAGGCGACGAUGCUUAGCGGGUCUGAGAGGAUGAUCCGCCACACUGGGACUGAGACACGGCCCAG